rnacentral:rRNA from 1 species
AACGCUAGCUACAGGCUUAACACAUGCAAGUCGAGGGGCAGCAUGGUCUUAGCUUGCUAAGGCCGAUGGCGACCGGCGCACGGGUGAGUAACACGUAUCCAACCUGCCGUCUACUCUUGGACAGCCUUCUGAAAGGAAGGUUAAUACAAGAUGGCAUCAUGAGUCCGCAUGUUCACAUGAUUAAAGGUAUUCCGGUAGACGAUGGGGAUGCGUUCCAUUAGAUAGUAGGCGGGGUAACGGCCCACCUAGUCUUCGAUGGAUAGGGGUUCUGAGAGGAAGGUCCCCCACAUUGGAACUGAGACACGGUCCAAACUCCUACGGGAGGCAGCAGUGAGGAAUAUUGGUCAAUGGGCGAGAGCCUGAACCAGCCAAGUAGCGUGAAGGAUGACUGCCCUAUGGGUUGUAAACUUCUUUUAUAAAGGAAUAGAGUCGGGUAUGGAUACCCGUUUGCAUGUACUUUAUGAGUAAGGAUCGGCUAACUCCGUGCCAGCAGCCGCGGUAAUACGGAGGAUCCGAGCGUUAUCCGGAUUUAUUGGGUUUAAAGGGAGCGUAGAUGGAUGUUUAAGUCAGUUGUGAAAGUUUGCGGCUCAACCGUAAAAUUGCAGUUGAUACUGGAUGUCUUGAGUGCAGUUGAGGCAGGCGGAAUUCGUGGUGUAGCGGUGAAAUGCUUAGAUAUCACGAAGAACUCCGAUUG